CUGUGUUGGUCUGGUCCAAAAAAAGUCCCAAACCAAUCCCAUCUUCAAUUUAGUGUUCACGAUAGCUUCCAUGGAGGCCAAAGCUUAAAGAACCCUAAAGAGUCACUACAGGUCAGCCCCUGCUUCUCAGCUAGCGGUGGGCACUAAUGCAAGCCUGAUUGACUGCAGGUGGAAACACACUCCACUUGGGCUGGUUCUGAUGGGUUUGAGGCCUUGUAUUUGCCUUUUAAGACUGGGGAAACUAACAAAGAAAGGAGUCUUCUGUUUCUGGAGGAAGCCCGUUGCAGGCGGCCGCCCCCGGGGGACGGGGGAACCCUGGUGAUCUGUGACCCUCGCCAGGCUCCGGGGUGGAGUGACCUGCGCUUCUCAGCAGACCCCUCCGCCCUUUUCCCCACCUGCAGAAGCCCCCCGAAUGGCAGCUGGAGGCAGUGACCCCAGUGGCAGACAGGCCCCUGACGUAUUUCAGUUGUGCAUUUGACCCAGGCCCGGCACUUGGAGACCAUAGAUGAGCUGGAGGAGUCGGAGUCGGAGUUGUCGGUGGACUCGGUGUUGCUGGGCGUGCGGAGGCGGGGCCGGGUCUCCCUGGUGAAGCAGAGCACGCCGGCGCGGAGCGAGGAGUCCCGCUUCACCGUGAGUGGCAGCGGCGACUCGCUGGCUUCCUGGCCCCAAAGGGCCCCGCACUCCCGGGACCCGCCGCACGCCCUGCUGCCCUCCCUGCAGGAGGCCGAGGAUACGCCGGCCGGCUCUGACCCAUCGCCAUCGCUCAGCUCUCCUCUCCACCCACAACCGGCACAGCGCCCCCUCAGUCCUGGAGGACCGAGUGCAGCUGCGGUUUCACCGGGGCAGAGCUCCCCUCUCAGCAACGAAGAUGACAGCAAGGACAAGGACUGGCCAGAGCCAAAAAAAAGCAGAAGGAGGAAAAAGCGAAGGCCGAACAGAAGGCUUUCAAUGAGAUCUGAAGACGGUGAAGAGCCAGCCAUGCCCCUAAAAAAGAAAACAGGCAGAAAACCCAGAAAAAAUGCCAAAAUGACAUCAGAAGAUGUCCCGGAAUGGCUGGCCACGCUAAUGCACAGUAUCGAGGAGGCCACCCAUCACGAGCUGGUCGUCGAGCAGCGUCGGACAGCCAAACAAGGGCAUGAGGCGCCGGAGAGCGCGUGGGCGAAAUGACCGAAGCUACGCGAUCAAACAUGUUUGCGACUCGGCGUAAACACAGCUGACAGAAUGUUAAAGAACACCGACCGUGAUGCAGAAUGCCGAUAGCCUAGCGGCUAAGUCCGAUUUCCUCCUCGACCAACCUCCCUUUGACGGGGCCUCUCGACCCUUGUUUUUUUGAAGUCAUCCGACCUUGGAUGACCAAGUUUCCCCUUUGAUCUUGUGAAACUUAACCCAUCCCGACAAGGUGGCGCGAUGUCAAUGUUAAUGAUUUGCCGACAGCAAUCACGACUGCAAAAUAUUUGUGUUCUUUCUGGGCCGUCCGCUUCCUUUGUUGUUCAUUCCUGCCUUAAAGCGUUCCUUGGUUCAAUAUUUUCAUCAUGCAAAAACAUUAAUACUGAAGAAAAUAACUGAGGAAAAUGUACUGUUAUGAUUUAUUGGAACCAAAAAUCACCUGAUAUUCUAGACGUCAAUCAAGACCACUCUGACUGAU